CGAACGUUAAACAAUCUGUAGAAAUAGUCAUCUUCUGGUAUACGAAUCUCGUUGCAAUAUGGAUUCUUCAGAUGUGGAGGACGAGAACAACAUUCUUCUGGAUCAUUACGAUUUAGUGGAUCUAGAAAAGAGCGACCAUGGAAACAGAGACACCAAUUGCUCUCCUCGUAGAAUAAUCUUGUCGCAGUGAUCGUUCUCGCUUUCUCUAGUAGUUAUCCUUCUUUCGAUAUAAGGCAAAUAUAUUCGACAUGGAAGGGUUUAAAACCUACUGUGUUGCUACACGCGUACACCUGACUGACUUCUUAACGUCUAAUUGGAACACAAGGCUAUCACCAUGACAGUACCAGCGUGAUCGUGAUAUCCCUCAUCUGGAUGCAUCGUACGGGAUACUAUUCUAGACAAGGGUAAUUCUCGUCCACUUACGGCUAUCCUAGGUGCUGAUAUACCAUCGG